CUCUCCCUCAAGUUCUUCUA
rnacentral:miRNA from 1 species